GUUCAAGACUUCCGGGGCUGAGCUUAGCCUGGCUCCUUCUCACGUGCGUUCAUUCCCCGGGCAGAUCUGAAUGUGUCCUGCGAUCGCUCCGUUUUUUGCUCCAGGAGGGAUCAACCUUCUGGGCGCAGCUUCAAUGGCCACGGCCAUCUUCCUGGAGAUUAGGCAGAGGAUGCAGAGCGGGCUGUUGAUAAUCCGUGCAUCAAAACCCAAAAACUGGACCAUGGAUAUUACAGUGAAUCCAUCCUCAGUCGAAGUAAAAAAGGGUGAUGACUGUCGGACGCUCAGCCUUCCACCAGAGGUCAGGAUUGUUCCUUCCUCCUGUCGGGGACUGCAGUACGUGCCUGGAGAUGGCUUACAUGUGAGGCUGCUAGUUCAGGCAGGUUUAAGUACAAAAUCAAUUUCAGCUCUGGAAGACAGCCUUAAAUCCAAAAAAAGUUGUACGUUUUAUUGCCAAACUUGUGGCGAGAUUAUCAUAAAAGACCGGACGUUUCUGAGAGUUCUUUCCCUUCCUGGGGAAAACUGGAGCGAUUUGGUGGAGGACUGGUGCUGCCAUCCGAACCCUUUCAACAGCAGCUUGCUUCAGCCUCGAACUGAUGAUUGUUUUCUAGGACACAAUUAUUUCCUAGUGAAUUUAGGGAGUGAGUCAACUGUGUCAUCACCUGAACUGCUUCCUUCACAGUCUCAGGGGGCAGUUUCUGGAAACAGCGGUUCUACCUUGAAUUCAAAGGCAAAUAGCAGGGUAAUUUGCAAGCGCUGCAAGACACUGUUGGGAGAGGCUCUGUCCACAGGUGUUACAAAAUAUUACUUCACUGAAUUGCUUGUUCGGCCAUCUGAAAAGCAGUUCGAGGCAAUACCAAGAUCUCUCUUCAUACAGAGCAUUAUAGCCCAAUGCCUUGUAGAGCUUUCUUCGUCCAGAAGCACAUUUAGGUUCAGCAUACAAGGAACUGAGGGCACUGUCUAUAUCUUGGUGUGGCUUCUUAAUUCUGACACAUUAUUGGUGGAAACUUCUGGAAACUCAGCCUCCAGUAAUAAUUUUACAUUCUUUGAAGACGGUGUGGCAUCCAAUUUAAAGUCUUCAGAUAUUAGGAAUGCCAUCAAAGUUCUUUAUCAUCCCUGCCUUAAAAGCAGAAAUAAGGAGCUUGUUGACGCAUGGGAAAAUGACUUUGGAGUACAUCCUCUAACAUUUCCAACCAAAACCUGUUUGGAACUGCUGCUGAUAAUGGCUCAGAGUAAUGCUGCUCUACCACCUUCCCUUCGUUGCAUGAACUCUUUUGAGUUUCUUUAGACUUCCACUCCUUCCCCUUUCUGCACGUGUUGUUCCACGGCUCUGAGCUCUGUAUAUCAACAUGUCAGGUUGGAAAAGGGCCUCAGAAAAGCCUUUCUGCUUUGUCAUCCUCUCCUAAGGCAGCCAGAACAGAAGUUCUCCAUGAGACUGUGCGGAUGCAGGCCUGCCAUGGAGAAGAGCAUGAAGCUUUCCUUCAAGCAUUCUUAAGGCAACAGCUGUAGGUGGGAAGAUGUUGACCUUCAUUCAUGUUGCGUUUUUGAAGAUGUAAAGAAUUCUAGCCUGAUUUUUUCCAGUGCUUCUCAAGUUAACCUUCAGUUGUGGAGGGUUGCAGGGAUAACAUCUCCAGUAAGGCUGCGUUCCAGAAAUGAUGCUGAGACUCCAAAACAAAAGACGAGAUUAACUGUAUUUUUAAGUUGAUGUUUGUUGACUUUGGAGGUUUAAAAAGCACAAGAAAAGUGACAGAGGCCAGUUAGUCAAGCCAAGAGGUUAAUGUUGCAAAGCUGUUCAGAGAGUGACUUAAUUUGGGCUGAGCUCAUUGUAAAUAAUGCCCUACUAAUUCUCCUGAGAGGUCAGUUAUCUUCCACAGCAACUUCAGCUUUACAAAGAAGGAGCAGAUAGCAGCCAGUUUGUCCUUUCUGGGAAAUAAGCAGGCAAUCAAGAAUGAGCAUUCGAUACUGCAGUUUGAAGUGAAAUAUAUUCUUGGACUGUGAACUCCAAUGCAUAGAAGAAUCUUGUAUGUUUUAGCUUUAAUUUUUACUAUGGUUUUGCAUUAGAGUGUAUUGUUUUUCUUUCCAGAGGGAAGAUUUAUUAUGUGAAUUAUACACAGGUCCACCUACAUGUGUAUUUUUAUAAUAUAUACUGCAGCUGCAUGGCUGCGCACGAAGCUAUUAUAUUCCAUCAGUUGCUUACAAUAUAGGCAGAAAUAAAAUAAAAAUAUUUUUCUAAAA